ensembl:lncRNA
CCAUGAGGUGGUGAAAAGAGGGUAUAUCCUUUUGUUGUAGGAUAGAAUGUUCUAUAAAUAUCUGUUAAGUCCAUUUGGUUCAUGAUUUCUCUUAGUCUGUCUAUGUCUCUGUUUAAUUUCUGUUUCCAUUAUCUGUCCAUUGAUGAGAGUGGGGUGUUGAAAUCUCCUACUAUUAUUGUGUGAGGUGCAAUGUGUGCUUUGAGCUUUAGUAAGGUUUCUUUUAUGUAUGUAGGUGCCCUUGUGUUCGUAGCAGAGACAUUUAGAAUUGCGAGUUCAUCUUGGUGGAUUUUUCCUUUGAUGAAUAUGAAGUGUCCUUUCUUAUCUUGUUUGAUGACUUUUAUUUGAAAAUUGAUUUUAUUUGAUAUUAGAAUGUCUAUUCCAGCUUGCUUCUUCAGACCAUUUGCUUGGAAAGUUUUUUUUCCAGCCUUUCACUCUGAGGUAAUGUCUUUCUUUUCCUCUAAGGUGUGUUUACUCUAGGCAGCAGAAUGCAGGGUCCUCAUUGCGUAUCCAGUUUGUUAAUCUAUGUCUUUUUAUUGGGGAGUUGAGUCCAUUGAUGUUAAGAGAUAUUAAGGAAUAGUGAUUGGUGCUUCCUGUUAUAUUCGUGUUUGGAUGUGAGAUUAUGUUUGUGUGCUUUUCUUCUCUUUGUUCUGUUGCCAAGACAAUUAGUUUCUCGGUUUUUCUAGGGUAUAGCUUGCCUCCUUAUUUUGGGCUUUACCACUUAUUAUCCUUUGUAGGGCUGGAUUUGUAGAAAGAUAUUGUGUAAAUUUGGUUUUGUCAUGGAAUAUCUUGGUUUCUCCAUCUUUUUUAUUGAGAGUUUUACUGGAUACAGAAACCUGUGCUGGCAUUUGUGUUUUCUUAGGAUCUGUAUGACAUCUUUCCGGGAUCUUCUGGCUUACAUAGUGUCUGGUGAGAAGUCUGGUGUGAUUCUGAUAGGUCUGCCUUUAUACGUUAUUUGACCCUUUUCCCUUACUGCUUUUAAUAUUCUUUCUUUGUUUUGUGCAUUUUUUGUUUCGACUAUUAUGUGAUAGGAGGAUUUUCUUUUCUGGUCCAAUCUACUUGGAGUUCUGUAGUCUUCUUGUAUGUUGAUGGGCAUCUCUUUCUUUAGGUUAGGGAAGUUUUCUUCUAUGCUUUUGUUGAAGAUAUUUACUGGUCCUUUGAGCUGAGAGUCUUCACUCUCUUCUAUACCUAUUAUCCUUAGGUUUGAUCUUCUCAUUGUGUCCUUGAUUUCCUGUAUGUUUUGGACCAGUAGCUUUUUUCGUUUUAUGUUAUCUUCGAAUGUUGUGUCAAUGAUUUCUAUGGAAUAUUCUGCUCCUGAGAUUCUCACUUCUAUCUCUUGUAUUCUGUUUGUGGUGCUUGUAUCUAUAGCUCCUUAUGUCUUUCUUUGGUUUUCUAUAUCCAGGGUUGUCUCCCUUUGUGCUUUCUUUAUUUCUUUUAUUUCCGAUUUUAAUUCCUUUGCCUGUUUGAUUGUGUUUUCCUGGAAUUCUUUCAGGGAUUUUUGUGAUUCCUCUCUAUAUGCUUCUACUUGUUUAUUUAUGUUUUCCUCAGUUUCUCUAAGCGAGUUCUUCAUGUCUUUCUUGAAGUCCUCCAUCUUCAUGGUCAAAUGUGAUUUUAAAUCUAGAUCUUGCUUUUCUGGUGUGUUUGGAUAUUCAGUGUUUGCUUUGGUGGGAGAAUUGGCUCAGAUGAUGCCAUGUAGUCUUGUUUUCUAUUACUUGUGUUCCUGUGCUUGCCUCUCGCUGUCAGGUUUUCUCUGGUGUUACCUUGUUAUGCAUUUCUGAGAGUGGCUAGACUGCCCUAUAUUCCUGUGUGUCAGAAGUGUUGUAGCCCUGUUUUCCUGUUUUCUUUCAGCCACUUAUGGGAACAGAGUGUUCUGCUUUUGGUGUGUAGUCUUUCAUGUGUACUGGUCUUCAGCUGUUCCUGUGGCCUGUAUACUGAGUCCACCAGGCAGGUCUCUUGGAGCAGAAAAGUUGGUCUUACCUGUGGUCCCCUGGCUUGAGUUGCUCGUGGGGGGGCAGCUUUUGAGCUCUCUGUUAGGGCAGCAACCAAGAGGGCCUGUGCAGCCUUUUCCUCAGGCCCCAUGCACCGGGGUCACAGAUAGCUUUAGGUGUUUUCCUCUGGAGUCAGAAAUGUGGCAGAGUGUAGUCUCUUCUGGCUUCCCAGGUGCGUCUGCUCUUCUGAAAGUUUAGUUCCCCCUCCCAUGGGAUUUGGGUGCAGAGAACUGUUGACCAGUUACCUUCAAGUCCGGCUGGUGUCUGGACUGCAGGGAAUCUGCCAUUCGAGUGCCUCUAUCUUCAGGUUCCCAGAGGCCGUAUACAGUUUCCUCUUGGGCCAGGGAUGGACAGUAUUCAUGGUUUCUCCCACCCUGCAAUCUCAGGAGUGCCCACCUGUCCAGGUUGUGAGCUCUCUCUCCCAAGGGGUUUGGGAGCAGGGAACUCUGGGCAGGGAUCAGUGGGGUUGUGGCUCCAGGUAAAAACCGGAAGUGUCCAGUCCCAGAGGAAUUUUGCCUCUGUGUGUCCUGAGUCUACCAGGCAUGUCGCUUGGAGCAGAAAAGUUGGUCUUACCUGUGGUCCCUCGGCUGAAGUUGCUCAUGGGGGGCUGCUUUUGAGCUCUCUGUGAUGGCGGCAACGAGGAGGGCCUGUGCUGCCUUUUCUCGGGGCCCCUGUGCAAAAGGAUCCCAGAUUGAAUUAGGUGUUUUCCUCUGGAGUCAGAAAUGUGGGCAGAGUUUAAUCUCUUCUGGCUUCCCAUCCAUGUCUGUCCCUCUGAAGGUUUAACUCUCCCUCCCAAGGGAUUUGAGUUCAGGGAGCUUUUGAUCAGAUCCCUUCGGUUCUGGGCGGUGUCUGGACUGCAGGGGACCUCUUUAAUGUUUUUUACAGUCCAGUUUUUAUCUCCCUCUCAGUCUGCCUUCUGAUUGUUCUUCAUCCUAUAUUUCAGCAGUGCCCCUGUCUCCAAUAAUUUGUCCCCAACAGCAUCAUGUCACUAGAUAUUCACUCUUCCUGGAGCCUCAAUUCUCUCAAGGGUUAGGUGUAUCUUCUCUCCCUGAGGCUAGACCAGGUAUUCCUCUGCUGUAUAUGCACUGGGGGCUUCAAAUAUGCUGGUGUAUGCUGCCUUGUUGGUGGCAAACAAGGAAGACCUUGGGAGUCUAGGAAGACUGCUGGUCCUCCUAUGGGGUUCCCCUCUUCCUCACUUUUUUCCAACUUUUCCGUAAUUUGACCACAAGGGGACAUAGCUUUUGUACUUCAGUAUCCUGUAAGUAUCUCCAUCUGACUCUUUCAGCUGCUUCCUCAGCCUCUCAGACAGCAGCCAUGCUAGGCUCCUGUUUGCAAAUGCACCACAGUAUCAGUAAUAGUAUUAGACCUUGGUGCCACCCUUGAGCUGGAUCCCAAUUUGGGCCUGUAACUGGACCUCCUUUCACUCAGUCUCUUCUCCAUUUUUGUCCCUGCAGUUCUUUCAGACAGGAACAAUUCUGGGUCAGAGUUUUUGACUGCGGAAUGGCAACCCAAUUCCUUCACUUGACAUUCUGUCUUUCUACCUGAGGUGGACUCUACCUGUUCCCUCUCCAACUGUAGGGCAUUUCCUUUUUUAAAAAAAUUUACUUGUUCUUUUAUUUAUUUACAUUUCAAAUGUUAUCCUCCUUCUCAGUUUACCCUAUUCCCCUGUAUGAGGUAGCUUCCCCACCCACUGAUUCACUCCCAACUCACUGCCUUAGCAUUCCCCUACACUGGGAUAUCAACCCUUCAUAGGACUAAGGGCCUCCCCUCCCAUGGAUGCCAGAUAACUCCAUCCUCUGCUACAUAUGCAGCUGGAGCCCUGGGUCCUUCUAUGUGCCUUCUUUCAUUGGUGGUUUAGUCCCUGGGAGCUCUGGACUGUCUAGUUGGAUGAUAUUGUUGUUUUUCCUAUUGGCUUGCAACCCCCCUCAGUUACCUCAGUCCUUUCUCAAACUCCCAUGUGUGUCAGUCUAUGGUGGUCUGUCAUUCAGUCUCUUCUCCAUUCUUUAUCGUUCUAUUUCCUUUAGCCAGGAGCAAUUCAGGGUUAAAUUUUUGAGAAGGGUGAAUGGCUCCAUCCACCACUCAGGGAUGUGCCUAACCUCAGGAUAUCGUCUCUACAGGUUCCCUCUCUCUUUUUUGGGGUGGUGGUGGUAUUUCAGCUAAUGCCAUCCCUGUUGUGUCCUGGGAGCCUUUGUUUUCCUGGCAUCUAGGACUUUCUAUAGCCUACCACCCAGUUCUCCAUCUUCUAUUGCUACACACCUCUGUUCAAUUUCCUGAUCCUCUGAACAUCUCCCCUGUCUCCUUCCAAACCUGAGCCUCGCCCCCUGUUUUUCCUCUCCACCUCCACUAUUCCUUUCAUGUUCCUCUAACACUAAACCUCCUGUGAUUACUUUGCUCCCCUUUUUAAGUAGGACUGAAACAUCCAUACUUCGGUCUUCUUUCUUCUUGAGCUUCAAUGGUCUCCGAGUUGUGUAGUCGGUAUUCUAAGAUUUUGUCCCAAUAUCCACUUGUCAAUGAAUACAUACCCUGUGUGUUCUUUUGUGACUGUGUUAACUCACCCAGGGUGAUGUUUUCUAGUUCUGUGAAUUUCAUGAAAUCAUUCUUUUUAAUGGCUGUGUAGUACUCCAUUGUGUAAAUGUACCACAUUUUCUGUAUCCAUUUUUCUGUUGAGGGACAUUUGGGUUGGUUCCAUUCUCUGGAUAUUAUAAAUAAGGCUAUGAUCAUAGUGGAGCAUGUGUCCUUGCUAUAUAUUGGAGCAUCUUUCCGGUAUAUACCCAUGAGUGUAUAGCUGUGUCCUCAGGUAGUUCUAUGUCCAAUAUUCUGAGGGAAUUUCUUUUGGAGUCCUUCCCUUUUUGUCCCGAGACUCUCUCACCUCCCAGAUCUCUGGUACAUUCUAGAAGGUUCCCCUACAACCCAUCUUCCAAGGUUGCAUGUUUCCAUUUUUUUUUAUCUGACUCUCAGGGCUUUAGUCCUGUUUCCCCCAAUACAAGAUAAUGUUUCUUCUUUUGCCACCUCAGCUUCUUUCCCAGCCUGGUCUCUUCUUCCGUCUGAUCUCCCGCCUACCACGAUUGCUUUCUUCUCUCUGCCAUGUUGAUUGAAGCAUGUUCAGUUGUGCCCUUUGGCUUGUUAGUUUUUUGAAUUCUAUGACUGUAUCCUGGGAAUUUUGUACUUUUUGGCUAAUAUGCAUAUAUUAGUGAGUACAUGCCAUGCAUGUCCUAUUGGGUCUGAGUUACCUCACUCAGGUUGCCAUUGUUGUUAAUAGGUAAAUAGUAUUUCAUUGUGCAAAUGAACCAUGUUUUCCUAACACAUUCUUCCUUUGGGGGACAUAUGGGCUGUUUAUAACUUCUGUUUGUCACACAGAAGGCCACUAUGAACAUAGGGGAAGACACACCCUGUGGCAUGGUGGCACAUCUUCUGGGUAUAUGCUGGGUCUUCAGGUAGAUAUAUUUCCAAUUUUCUGAGGAACCUGCAAGUUUAUUUCCAGAGUGGUUGUGCCAGUUUGCAAUCCCACCAUCAAUGGAGGAAGGAUCCUUUUCUCCACAUCAUUGCCAACAUGUGCUGACACCUGAAUUUUUGAUUUUAGCCAUUCUGAUUGGUGUACUGUGGAAUCUCAGGGCCAUUUUGAUUUGCAUUUUUCUGAUCACUGAGGACUUUGAUCAUUUCUUUAAGUGAUUCUCAGGCAUUCGAGAUUCCUCUUUUUUGAAUUCUCUGUUAAGUUUUAUACCUCAUUUUUGAAUGUGUGUUUUUUUUUUGUUUUUUGGUGGUUAGCUUUUGAGAUUUUUGUAUAUUUUCAAUACUAACCCCUAUCAGAUGUCAAGUUACUGAAGAUUUUUUUCAAUCUGUUGUAUUUCAAUUUGUCCUAAUGACAAUGUCCUUGUCUUACAGAACUUUUCAGUUUCAUGAGGUCCCAUUUAUCAAUUCUUUAUAUUAGAGCCUGAGCCAUUGUAGCCAUUUUAUUUAGGAAAUAGUCUCCUGUGCACAUGAGUUCCAUGCUCUUUCCCAAUUUCCAUUUUCAUACAUUGUACAUUCAAAGUAUCUUGUUUUAGGGUUGAGUUGCUUGACUCACUUGGACUUGAGCUUGUGUAAUGUGACAAAUAUUGUUUUUUUCUGUCUUCUUUGUCAAAGAUCAAGUGUCUGUAAGUUUGUAUUGGUACAGGGACAGAAACACUGGUCAACGGAAUAGAAUUCAAGAUCCAGAAAUAAAAUUACAAACUUACAGACACUUGAUCUUUGACAAAGAAGACAAAAAAUAUACAAUGGAAAACAGACAACUCCUUCAAAAACUAGUGUUGGUCUAACUGGCAGACUGUAUGUAGAAAAAUGAAAAUAAAAAAAAACAAUAUUUGUUGGGAUUUUACUGGGGGUUGCAUCUAAUCUGUUGAUUGCUUUGGUAGUGUUAUUUUGUUAAUUCUACCAAUUCAUGACCAUAGGAGAUCUCUCCAUUUUCUGAGAUCUUCUUUGAUUUCUUUCUUGAGAGUUUGUUUGUUUACUUAUUCUUUCUUUCUUUCUCUCUCUCUUUCUUUCUUUCUUUCUUUCUUUCUUUCUUUCUUUCUUUCUUUCUUUCUUUCUUUCUUUCUUUCUUUUUGCACUCCAGAUUUUAUUCCCCUUGUGAUCCACUCCCUGGGAGUUCUACAUCCAAUACCUGCUCCCUGUUUCCCGAUACUCCCCACCCACCAGUUUCAAGAAAGAUGUCACCACCGUACCCAUCCCAACAGACCUCUAAACUUCCUAGGGCUUCCAGUCCCUUGAGGGUUAGAUGCAUCUUCUCUGAC